rnacentral:rRNA from 1 species
UGGGGAAUAUUGGACAAUGGGCGGAAGCCUGAUCCAGCAACGCCGCGUGAGGGAUGACGGCCUUCGGGUUGUAAACCUCUUUCAUCAUCGACGAAGCUCAGCUUUUUGUUGGGUGACGGUAGGUGGAGAAGAAGCACCGGCCAACUACGUUCCAGCAGCCGCGGUAAUACGUAGGGUGCGAGCGUUGUCCGGAAUUAUUGGGCGUAAAGGGCUCGUAGGCGGUUUGUCGCGUCGGGAGUGAAAACACUGGGCUUAACCGAGUGCUUGCUUUCGAUACGGGCAGACUUGAGGCAUUCAGGGGAGAACGGAAUUCCUGGUGUAGCGGUGAAAUGCGCAGAUAUCAGGAGGAACACCGGUGGCGAAGGCGGUUCUCUGGGAAUGUUCUGACGCUGAGGAGCGAAAGUGUGGGGAGCGAAC